rnacentral:rRNA from 1 species
CCUACGGGGGGCAGCAGUAGGGAAUCUUCCACAAUGGGCGAAAGCCUGAUGGAGCAACGCCGCGUGGGUGAAGAAGGUCUUCGGAUCGUAAAACCCUGUUGUUAGAGAAGAAAGUGCGUGAGAGUAACUGUUCACGUUUCGACGGUAUCUACCCAGAAAGCCACGGCUAACUACGUGCCAGCAGCCGCGGUAAUACGUAGGUGGCAAGCGUUAUCCGGAUUUAAUGGGCGUAAAGGGAACGCAGGCGGUCUUUUAAGUCUGAUGUGAAAGCCUUCGGCUUAACCGGAGGAGUGCAUUGGAAACUGGGAGACUUGAGUGCAGAAGAGGAGAGUGGAACUCCAUGUGUAGCAGUGAAAUGCGUAGAUAUAGGGAAGAACACCAGUGGCGAAGGCGGCUCUCUGGACUGUAACUGACGCUGAGGUUCGAAAGCGUGGGUAGCAAACAGGAUUAGAUACCCCUGUAGUC